GUUCUUUACGAUUUCAGCGGAAUAGGGUUAUUCGCAAUUCCAUUACUAAGUGGAUGUUUUACAGUGAAGAUUGUACUCGGAGUUACACAAAUUCAUCUCGUGUAGAAUGAAAUUAAUUCUUUUAUUAUUCAUCCCAGACAAGUUUAUUAUCCUAUGAACGUGCUGUUCAAACGAAAAGCUUUCCGAGUUUCAGGUUUUUCCUUUUUUUAUGGGAAUUUCUCAACUCAUUGGAUGGCAAACGAGACCUACGAAGCUCUCUGUAUUUGUGUACAUCGAUCUGGGAUUAGUGUUUUUUGUGGAUUCCUUAAUGACUGCAGAGUUAAAGAGACGAUGAAGAUCUCUGAAUGCUUGAAUAAUACUCACAAUGAAAUAUACGGUUCUAUUCGGUCAGAGGGUCACUCGGAGCAUUUCCUAUUUUCGCUAUAUUUCACGGUCUCUGUGUGACAGUAGCUUCAGAGACGGUGGCAGUGACAUAGGGUGUGAAGUUUGUGAUGGUUUCUCAAAGGGAGGUGGUCCAAGACUGGAUUUUGAUUCGACUCUGCAAAAGGAUCCUACUGAGACGCUCCCCGAAAUGUCCAUUGCAGGAAUUCAUGACAAUGACGAAAAUGGUUCUCAGGAAGAUUUGUCCCCUCAGCAGAAAAUUUUCAAGGAUGUCAGGUUGGAUGCUGAUAGAAUUAUGGAUAUUCUCCACCAAGAUGAGCCGGGUUUUGAUGUUAGAUCGGCUCUGGAUGAGUUGCAACUUAGAGUGUCAACUUUCCUUGUCAGAGAAGUUCUUAAAAGGAUUUUGAAAAUUAUAAAUCAUACAAAUAAGAAUCGCUGCGCAAAGUUGAGUUACAAGUUCUUCAUAUGGGCCAGUCUGCAAAGUAACUAUAGCCACACCUCGAACACCUACCAUUUGCUUAUGAGUAUCUUUGCAAAUUGCCAGGAGUGGAAGGCAAUUGGGAGAUUAGUUGAUCAGAUGACUGAAGAUGGGUUGCCAACUACUGCCAGAACAUUUAACAUCUUAAUAUGUACUUUCAGUGAGGCAGGUAUGAGAAGGAGAUUAGUGGAGAGGUUCAUCAAAUCAAAGACAUUUAGUUAUAGGCCAUUCAAGCACUCCUACAAUGCAAUUCUACAUUCUCUUCUGGCAGUGAACCAAUACAAUUUGAUUGAGUGGUUGUACCAGCAAAUGCUUGUUGAUAAGCAUUCUCCUGAUGUUCUAACUUACAAUAUACUUUUAUGUGCGAAGUAUAGACUGGGAAAGUUUAAUGAGUUCCAGACAGUGCUUGACGAUAUGCUUAGAAGUGGGCUUUCCCCAGAUUUCCACACAUACAACAUCUUACUUCAUGUGCUUGGGAAAGAUGACAAACCUUGUGCAGCUCUUAAGCUAUUAAAUCACAUGAAAGAAGUUGGUUGUGAGCCAAACAUUCUCCAUUUCACCACAUUGAUGGAUGGGCUGAGUCGGGCUGGAAAUUUGGUUGCCUGCCGGUAUUUUUUUGAUGAGAUGGUGAGGAAAGGGUACAUGCCAGAUGUGGUGUGUUACACGGUCAUGAUCACUGGAUACAUUGUUGCCGGGGAGCUUGAGAAUGCACAAAAAAUGUUUGAUGAGAUGAUUGUCAAAGGGCAGCUACCGAAUGCCUAUACAUACAAUUCCAUGAUACGUGGUCUUUGCAUGGCCCAGAAGUUUGAAGAGGCAUAUGCAAUACUGGAUGAAAUGGAAUCUAGAGGUUGCAAUCCAAAUUUCAUUGUUUACAGAACUCUAGUAGCUAAUCUGCGGAAUGCUGGAAAGGUGGAUGAAGCUUAUAAAGUGAUAGAACAAAUGGUACAGAAGGGGCACUAUAUCCAUCUUCGCUCGAAACUUGAGGGAUAUGUUAAAGAAUUUAGAUGGAGGGUUGUGUACAAGUAGAAGAUUCUUUUUUCAUGACCUCACAAGGAGGCACUUAUUUAUUGUUACCCUGGUUCAAUUAUGGCCUGUGCUGGCUUAUGCUCAUUCCAAACUUCACAGAAGUUUAACAGUACGGCUAUUACAAUGGUCAUAUCUCUGUAAAAACUGCAGAUGAUCAAGCAAUAUUAAAAUGAAUCAAAAGCAAAUCUAAUGCUAUGAGCUGGUCAACUAGUAAAAUCACCUUGAAAGCUCCAAACUUUGAUGUGUACAAUAGUUUAGGGAGCAUCCUUAGCCCAGGUCCCAGUGUAAAAUUUUGAUCCUGAUUUAGGCAUGGUUCUGUUUUGAAUCUUGAAACUGCAUAAAUUGGAACUUUAGAUGAAGCUGCCUUCUUGUUAUGGUGAUCGAUCAUGCUAGGACGGAGGGCAAUUCCAUUGACCAUCCCAACACCAAAUCCUCACAGUAUGCUUCUGCCAAGCUAAGCCU